NNNNNNNNNGAGAGAAAGAGAGAGAGAGAGAAAGAUGAUCAAAGAUUAAUAAGUCUCUCUGUGAAGGAUAUACCUACAUUGUCGAUUUCAUUCUCCCCACUUUCUCCUUUUUACAUCACCAUGGCUCGAUGCUUGAGAUGAGUUACGCCGUGUGCGACCCGUCACGACUUGGUCGGUCAUCGCUAAGCAGUGUAAUAUCCAAAGCAUCAAGAUCGGUCUCCUCCUGCAUGGCCGUCGUCACCAUUAAGGGAGGUCGCGCACAGGAGAGGAAAUUAACGUACAUGAAGGCGCUGAUAGCAUCCAUCAUGUUAGAAGACCUAUCUGAAGAGACCCGUGCAGGGUUAUUCCUUUCCGCUUUCUUUUCAGAAAUGGGCGAUUCUCAGACUAUCGUAGAGACCUUUGCCAAGAACCACAAUCUGGCCUACUCAAAAAUGCAAUUAAAAGUCGAACAUGGAAUAACAGUCGGAACAUGUGCGUCCUCCAAUCGCUUGAUCGAUAGCCUAGACCGGGACAUCAUCGUCGGGAACCCCAAUCUGUUUGAAAAUGGUGUAGAGCUCGGCUCUGAAGAUGAGUUGCCAUCAGAAUCUCUAAGAACCGUAAUCUCUCACAUUAUAAUGAUCGCAUCUAAGUGUAUCACAUCCCCCACUGUCUGCAUCGACAAUGCCCGUCGACGCAUGGAAGCGAUGUGUAUCUCAAACCCUGUCGAAGCAGAGUGGUUUCUUCAAGAUGAAGUAGCAGAACGGGUAGCAAAAACCAUUAAGCAAAAUAUCAUUAUUAGAAGAAUAAUUGUGGAACUUGUAGAGGCAGCCUUAGACCAGGAAGGCAAUACGAAUGCGCUCUUUGAGGCCGUAUCUCAUGCAGGUCACUAUCUACGAGGUGCCGGGCUGACCGGUUUUGUGAUGGUUUGCAACUUCGUGGUGUCGGCAAAGGCACCUAUCCUGGCGAAACCAGCGUAUCGGUCAGAGGUUGAGGCACUUCGAGGACUUCUCAAAAUCUUCAGCACAAUCGGUCCCUCAGCUCCAUAUAUCAAAUUCCUCGGUCAUGCGAAAGCCGGUCUCUUUUCUCCUGCUGCGUUCCCCGAACUGCAUGCUUUCGCAAUCGGGUACGCGGCUGCUGCGCAUGCUAGCAUGGCUCACUACGCAAUCAGUGAGGCCAUAACUGCAAGACCCUCCUACCACGCCGGCCGAGUGUUUGCAAGCAGAGGAGGAGGGGCACCACAAGCCACCCUAUUGAACGAGUACGGGUCUACGAUACUGUGAUUGGUCGACACCAUACCGGCCAUGAAAAUGCAGCACCGCCUCCUAUGUUGUGAACGAGCUUAUGGGACCCAUCCGCCCUCGCGUUCCCAACUCCAAUGGCGAUGGUCUCUCACCCUAAAAGAUAAUUUAUUUGUAAAUAAUGCUUCCUUUUUCACGUGUUGGAGUCUUCAACAAUUUUAAAGAAGUUUUCCGUUUUUUUAUUUUUUUGGUUCGUCUACAGGCAUCAGUCGACCGAUGACACGAUAAAUAAGGACAUAACAUGUCUCUUCAUGGCAAUUGUCAGAGAAAGAGAGAGAGAGAGAGAGAGAGAGGCGCAGCGCAUUUUGCCUGAUUUCUCUUGAUUAAUUAUCAGUACAUUUGUUGGCUUUAGUGAAUUUAUUAACAUGAAUUUAACUACACUUGUCUGACCUAAUUUAUUAAAAAGUUUUUUUUUUAGACG
ensembl:lncRNA